rnacentral:rRNA from 1 species
AGUGAACGCUGGCGGCAGGCCUUACACAUGCAAGUCGAACGGCAGCACGGUUAGUGCCUCCUGGUAGCGAUUGGCAGUGGGGGGAGGAAUAGAUCUAAACAGGUCCUUAAGUUUUGGAGAGGCCGGAGAAAGGCGGAUUAAUGCCACAUACGAUCAACAGAUAAAAGCGAAAGAACGGCGUGCCUGGACCUAGAGCGUUUGAAGGUGGCGGAUUCGCUAGUGGGGGGGGUAAAGGCCCACCAAGGCGACGAUCCGUAGCUGGUCUGAGAGGACGACCAGCCACACUGGGACUGAGACACGGCCCAGAUUCCUACGGGAGGCAGCAGUGGGGAAUUUUGGACAAUGGGCGCAAGCCUGAUCCAGCCAUACCGCGUGUGUGAAGAAGGCCUUCGGGUUGUAAAGCCCUUUUGUCCGGAAAGAAAAGCAUGGCGUUAAUACGCUGGGGGGCUGACGGUACCCAAAGAAUAAGCACCGGCUAACUUCGUG